rnacentral:rRNA from 1 species
GACGAACGCUGGCGGCGUGCCUAAUACAUGCAAGUCGAGCGAAUCUUUUGGGAGCUUGCUCCCAAAAGAUUAGCGGCGGACGGGUGAGUAACACGUGGGCAACCUGCCUAUAAGAUUGGGAUAACUUCGGGAAAACAGAGCUAAUACCGGAUACGUUCUUUUUUCGCAUGAGAGAAGAUGGAAUGACGGCUUCUAGCCGUCACUUAUAGAUGGGCCCGCGGCGCAUUAGCCAGUUGGUGGGGUAAUGGCUCACCAAGGCGACGAUGCGUAGCCGACCUGAGAGGGUGAUCGGCCACACUGGGACUGAGACACGGCCCAGACUCCUACGGGAGGCAGCAGUAGGGAAUCUUCCGCAAUGGACGAAAGUCUGACGGAGCAACGCCGCGUGAACGAAGAAGGCCUUCGGGUCGUAAAGUUCUGUUGUUAGGGAAGAACAAGUACCAGAGUAACUGCUGGUACCUUGACGGUACCUAACCAGAAAGCCACGGCUAACUACGUGCCAGCCGCCGCCGUAAGAC